UACAGAGGUCUCAAGCGUUUGUUCGGAUUCAUUGGGCGUAAAGGGUGUGUAGGUGGCGCGCUAAGUCGGGGUGUGAAAUUUCGGAGCUUAACUCCGAAACUGCAUUCGAUACUGGCGUGCUUGAGGACUGGAGAGGAGACUGGAAUUCAUGGUGUAGCAGUGAAAUGCGUAGAGAUCAUGAGGAAGACCAGUGGCGAAGGCGGGUCUCUGGACAGUUCCUGACACUGAGACACGAAGGCCAGGGGAGCAAACGGG
rnacentral:rRNA from 1 species